CUACGGGGCGCUGCAGUGAGGAAUAUUGCACAAUGGGGGGAACCCUGAUGCAGCAACGCCGCGUGGAGGAUGACGCAUUUCGGUGUGUAAACUCCUUUUAUAUGUCAAGAAAAUGACGGUAGCAUAUGAAUAAGCACCGGCUAACUCCGUGCCAGCAGCCGCGGUAAUACGGAGGGUGCAAGCGUUACUCGGAAUCACUGGGCGUAAAGGACGCGUAGGCGGGUUGGAAAGUCAGGUGUGAAAUCCUACAGCUUAACUGUAGAACUGCACUUGAAACUUCUAAUCUAGAGUAUGGGAGGGGGGGAUGGAAUUAGUGGUGUAGGGGUAACAUCCGUAGAUAUCACUAGGAAUACCUAAAGCGAAGGCGAUCUCCUGGAACAUUACUGACGCUAGGGCGUGAAAGCGUGGGGAGCAAACAGGAUUAGAUACCCCCGUAGUC
rnacentral:rRNA from 1 species